GGUGGCUAUGGGAACCCUUGAUGUGCUUGGUUUGUGGCAGUGUAAAUCCAGUCUCUGCCUCUGUGGCUUUCUCUGUAUGUUUCUGUGUCAGUUUGUCCUCUCGGCCCUGCGAGGUACGGCAUGUGAAAGACCAAUACCUUGAGUGGUAAAAGAAUUUACCAACAGUGAAGGAGGAUUGGAAAGUUAAAGAUUUACUGAUACCAUGCAAGAGAGCAGUGGAUGAGUUCCGAGAGAGGAGGACUGUGCCAUCGGGGUGGGGUUUUUAUAAGGGUUUGAGGACGGGGAAAGGGUAUGAGGUCAAAACAAGCGUCCCAGCCUUUCUUUGGUCAGACUGCACUCUUUAUCUACCGGGAGCACCUGUGUUAUGUCAUCAGUUACACAAUACAGCCUCCAUUUUGACACGUUCCGCUGCUUUGUCUUCACAGAAGCCUGUAAGGCUCAAAAUAAGGGCGCCUAUAGGCAUCAACUCUGAGGGACACAGGCCAUGGGAAAGAAAGAAUCGUAACAGGAAGUGA
rnacentral:lncRNA from 1 species